GAUGAACGUUGGCGGCGUGCCUAAUACAUGCAAGUCGAGCGAACGGACGAGAAGCUUGCUUCUCUGAUGUUAGCGGCGGACGGGUGAGUAACACGUGGAUAACCUACCUAUAAGACUGGGAUAACUUCGGGAAACCGGAGCUAAUACCGGAUGAUAUUUUGAACCGCAUGGUUCAAAAGUGAAAGACGGUCUUGCUGUCACUUAUAGAUGAAUCCGCGCUGCAUUAGCUAGUUGGUAAGGUAACGGCUUACCAAGGCAACGAUGCAUAGCCGACCUGAGAGGGUGAUCGGCCACACUGGAACUGAGACACGGUCCAGACUCCUACGGGAGGCAGCAGUAGGGAAUCUUCCGCAAUGGGCGAAAGCCUGACGGAGCAACGCCGCGUGAGUGAUGAAGGUCUUCGGAUCGUAAAACUCUGUUAUUAGGGAAGAACAUAUGUGUAAGUAACUGUGCACAUCUUGACGGUACCUAAUCAGAAAGCCACGGCUAACUACGUG
rnacentral:rRNA from 1 species